CAUAUGGAAGAGACGGCAUCCCAGGACCAUCCAAACGAUGUAGAAGAGAUGAUGCAUGAGCAAGAACGCUCAGAUCCUAGCAAAGCAGCAAGAGAGGUUGAUGAGCCACAGCAGGGUGCAGAGGAAGCAACACACCAAGACUAUGCUGAACCAGUAUAUGAACAUUCAGAAAACGAAGGGAUAGAGAUUUCAGAUAAUGCCAUAGAAGAUUCCAGUAUAAUUUCAGAAG